rnacentral:rRNA from 1 species
GUGUCAGCAGCCGCGGUAAUACGGAGGGUGCAAGCGUUGUUCGGAAUUACUGGGCGUAAAGGGGGUGUAGGCGGCCAGGUAAGUCGGAUGUGAAAGCCCUCGGCUUAACCGAGGAAGUGCAUUCGAAACUGCUUGGCUUGAGUAUGGGAGAGGAAGGUGGAAUUCCCGGUGUAGCGGUGACAUGCGCAGAUAUCGGGAGGAACACCGGUGGCGAAGGCGGCCUUCUGGCCCAAUACUGACGCUGAGACCCGAAAGCGUGGGGAGCAAACAGGAUUAGAUACCCUGGUAGUCCACGCCGUAAACGUUGGGUACUAGGUGUGGGAGGUUAAUACCUUCUGUGCCGCAGCUAACGCAUUAAGUACCCCGCCUGGGGAGUACGGCCGCAAGGUUAAAACUCAAAUGAAUUGACGGGG